UACGUAGGGCGCAAGCGUUGUCCGGAAUUAUUGGGCGUAAAGAGCUCGUAGGCGGUUUGUCGCGUCUGUCGUGAAAGCUUGGGGCUUAACCCCAAGCCUGCGGUGGAUACGGGCAGACUAGGGGCAGGUAGGGGAGACCGGAAUUCCCGGUGUAGCGGUGAAAUGCGCAGAUAUCGGGAGGAACACCGGUGGCGAAGGCGGUUCUCUGGGCCUGUACUGACGCUGAGGAGCGAAAGCGUGGGGAGCGAACAGG
rnacentral:rRNA from 1 species